GUAUCCACGUGUUUGCUCGUGUGAGAAAUAAAAGUUGAAUGGAAGUAUUCGUUUUCAAAAAUUGCUUGCAACCUGGGACCUACCCAAUGAUGUAAUAGGAAAUUUUGAAGUUAAUGAAACUGAUGAGUUGAAUUUAUUAACUAUGUCAAAAGACGAUAUUGACGAUCUUUUCAACGGAUACACAAUCUGAUUAAAAUCCCGAUUUAAGAAGCACUUAAAUGACUACCGAGAAAAUCAGAUGGUAAGUCAAAGUACUAUUAUUAAAGCGUAAUUAUCAACCGGACUCUAAUUUCGGCCAAAAACGUAAACGAGAAAAUUAUGAAGAUGAUAGAGUUUUGAAAAAAUCAAAUUCAAAAUUAAUUGAUGGCUCCGAACUUAACCGUUUCGAUGAAAGAUUUAAUAAGGAAUGUUCUGAAGCACAGUCUCUGCUAAAUAACGAUUUUUUGAGAGAGGAGGUAGCGUCACAAACUAGAAAGCAGUCUAGCAAUUAUAUAACGGAAUUUUUGGAGGGAGAGAGUUCUGAACAUUUGAAACAAACAAAUAAUGGGUCCGAAUGGAAUAAAGGCACCCAUAAUUUCUGAACUGAAUCGAGUAGUAGAGACCAAUUUUUUGAUCUUCAUAAUCUCGACCCAGAAAAUUUUCUGAACAACAUUAAUUCGGAUAAGCUACUCCUAUUUAAGUACAAAAAUAGAGCAAUAGACUAUGAUGGGCAAAAAAUUAGUAGAACUCAUUAUUCAUGGUCUCAUGGAACAGCCAAUAUCGAGCAGUAGUGCCUCCAACAAAGUUGAGUUGUGAAUUUCUACUCACUUAUCUUCACACAUAAAAAUAUAUAUUAAAUAUAAAUAUUCUUUUUGUAAUGUGCUAUAGGUACAUGUACUUAA